GACGAACGCUGGCGGCGUGCUUAACACAUGCAAGUCGAACGGAAAGGCCCUGCUUUUGUGGGGUGCUCGAGUGGCGAACGGGUGAGUAACACGUGAGUAACCUGCCCUUGACUUUGGGAUAACUUCAGGAAACUGGGGCUAAUACCGGAUAGGAGCUCCUGCUGCAUGGUGGGGGUUGGAAAGUUUCGGCGGUUGGGGAUGGACUCGCGGCUUAUCAGCUUGGUGGUGGGGUAGUGGCUUACCAAGGCUUUGACGGGUAGCCGGCCUGAGAGGGUGACCGGCCACAUCGGGACUGAGAUACGGCCCAGACUCCUACGGGAGGCAGCAGUGGGGAAUAUUGCACAAUGGGCGGAAGCCUGAUGCAGCAACGCCGCGUGCGGGAUGACGGCCUUCGGGUUGUAAACCGCUUUCGCCUGUGACGAAGCGUGAGUGACGGUAAUGGGUAAAGAAGCACCGGCUAACUACGUG
rnacentral:rRNA from 1 species